AUGUCACGGAUCUCUCCCAAGUGUGCAAACAGCCCCACAAAUGCACCGGCCAUGGAAGAGAAGAUUGCAUACCAGAUCUGGUUAUCCAUGAGGUAG
rnacentral:rRNA from 1 species